rnacentral:rRNA from 1 species
AAGGGGCAGUAAGGCAUGGGUACCUACCCGGGGGUUCGGGAUAGCCAUCAGAGAUGGUGGGUAAUACCGGAUGACCUCGUGAGAGCAAAGAUUUAUCGCCCCCGGAGGGGCCCAUGUGAUAUUAGCUAGUUGGUGAGGUAACGGCUCACCAAGGCGAAGAUGUCUAGCGGGUGUGAGAGCACGACCCGCGCCACUCGCACUGAGACACUGGCGAGACACCUACGGGUGGCUGCAGUCGAGGAUCUUCGGCAAUGGGGGCAACCCUGACCGAGCGGUGCCGCGUGCGCGAUGAAGGCCUUCGGGUUGUAAAGCGCUUUAGUGGGGGAGAAAAGCCGCAAGGUGUGAUCUAUCCCAAAAAUAAGCUCGGGCUAAGUUCGUGCCAGCAGCCGCGGUAAGACGAACCGAGCGAACGUUGUUCGGAAUCACUGGGCUUAAAGGGCGCGUAGGCGGGCUAUCAAGUCUGGGGUGAAAUGCCACGGCUCAACCGUGGAACUGCCUCAGAUACUGACGGCCUCGAGGGAGGUAGGGGCAUGUGGAACUGUAGGU